rnacentral:rRNA from 1 species
AAUAGAUACCCUGGUAGUCCACGCCGUAAACGAUGAGUGCUAAGUGUUAGAGGGUUUCCGCCCUUUAGUGCUGCAGCUAACGCAUUAAGCACUCCGCCUGGGGAGUACGGUCGCAAGACUGAAACUCAAAGGAAUUGACGGGGGCCCGCACAAGCGGUGGAGCAUGUGGUUUAAUUCGAAGCAACGCGAAGAACCUUACCAGGUCUUGACAUCCUCUGACAACUCUAGAGAUAGAGCGUUCCCCUUCGGGGGACAGAGUGACAGGUGGUGCAUGGUUGUCGUCAGCUCGUGUCGUGAGAUGUUGGGUUAAGUCCCGCAACGAGCGCAACCCUUGAUCUUAGUUGCCAGCAUUUAGUUGGGCACUCUAAGGUGACUGCCGGUGACAAACCGGAGGAAGGUGGGGAUGACGUCAAAUCAUCAUGCCCCUUAUGACCUGGGCUACACACGUGCUACAAUGGAUGGUACAAGGGCUGCAAGACCGCGAGGUCAAGCCAAUCCCAUAAAACCAUUCUCAGUUCGGAUUGU